UACGUAGGUGGCAAGCGUUAUCCGGAAUUAUUGGGCGUAAAGAGCGCGCAGGUGGUUGAUUAAGUCUGAUGUGAAAGCCCACGGCUUAACCGUGGAGGGUCGUUGGAAACUGGUCGACUUGAGUGCAGAAGAGGGAAGUGGAAUUCCAUGUGUAGCGGUGAAAUGCGUAGAGAUGUGGAGGAACACCAGUGGCGAAGGCGACUCUCUGGCCUGUAACUGACACUGAGGCGCGAAAGCGUGGGGAGCAAACAGGAUUAGAUA
rnacentral:rRNA from 1 species